UGCUAUACCCAUAGAGAUCCUGUGGGUGAAAAAGUACUCUAUAAAAUCCUAUGGCCGCCAUAUUUCUCUACAGACGCAGAGAGAGGUGCGAGGGAGUGUUCGGAUCGGGAAGAAGGACAGACUGACGUUCCUUGGACAAAUUCAGUUUAACCCCUCAAAUUUACCUCAGCAUAGGGUCAAAGUUCGAGCCAACCUCACCCACCUACUCCAGCUAUUUCAGUUGAAGCUCCCUUCGUCGGCCAUACUGGAAGGAGAUGUGUCCUGGAAUCCGAACAAUAACAGUGUGUUUGAUUACCUAGUGAGAGGCAAAGUAGGAAUCAACCGGCAGGAGUGUCAGGUAAGAGUAGCUAUUCAAUCACAACUUAAAUAAAAAAUAUUGCUAAUUUAUGAUUACAGCACUUAUCAAUCAUUAACAAUGUGGGUUUUUAUCUCCAUCAGUUUUCUCUUCAUCUGAAUGGCUCAUCAGACAGAAUUGGUCUGUAUUCCUCGCUCACACAUCCCUUCCAAUCCAAGAUCCUUAAAACAUUGGAGGCCCGGCUCACUGCAUACACUUCUAUGGUGGACGGCAGAGUGAGCAGCUCUCUGUGUGUGAGGGCUGAUGGGAAGGAUAGAGCCCUGCUGGAGGCCCAGCUCUCCCACUCCCUACAGAGAGACACCAGAGCCCUGAGUCUACAUCUGACCCUGCUCCAGACUCUACUACCUACUACAGCCACUCAGCUGCACCUCAACAUGUCUGCCAACAUGUCCUCAGAUAGACUCUCCAUGCAUGUUGCCUAUGACCAGGGAGGGGAGGUCCUACAGGCCCAGGUGGCUGGCUCAUUGGAGCACUCCCCUGGUUCCCCGUGGCUCCGGAUGGCUGUCAACGGCGGCCUGAGGCACUCCUUACCCAGCCUCACUGCUCUGCCUCCUGCCCUGAGUCUGGAAGGAGCCCUGGGGCAGUCAGACUGGCUCACUGAAGGGCAGCUGAGAGUGACAGUGAGUAAGGCUGUGUACAGUGUGGAGCUGAGUCAUCAACAGGACCAAGGAGACACCUGGGAGGAAGAGGAUGGCAUGCUGGGGAAAGAGCCUGACGCGGCCAGUGAUUGGUUGUGCGCUCGGGCAGGGGAGGAGUCUCUGUGUGUGAAUGUGAGCCGCCGAUUGGGCAGUCAGGCGAGGGGUGGAGUCAACGCCCAGCUCUCUCACUCCUCCCGCUGGCUCCACACUGCAGGUAUACCAGGUAACAGCAGUGCCCAGGUGAGCUGGACCCAGGAGGAGGGCAGGCUCUCAGUGCUGGCAGAACUACAGACCGGAGCUCAUGGCCUGAAGGCUGAGUUUGAAAGGGCCAGGACUGGCGGGGCCUCCCCACGAUGGGAGCUCCAAACCAGGGUACAGCACCAAAGCAAGGCCCUGGUCCAAAGAGGCCUGCCUAGCUCCAUCCAGGCUACAGGGCACUAUCAGGAGGAGACAGAGCGUUUGAGUGCAGGGCUGACCAUAGCAGUUGACGAACAGAAGAAGGUGGACGUCCUAGUGGAAGCCGGCAAGGGGAACACCGCCGCCAACCUGACUGUGUCUCUAUUGCACCACCUGAGGCAACUCAAAGGAAUGAUACCUACAUCAUUGCAGAUGAGCUGCACGGGGUACGCCACCAACGGUGCCGCUAAUGACCGCCUCUCGGCCCAGUGCUCCGGAAGCGUCGCCGGUCGACCUGUGGAGACUCUCCUCCCUCCGUACUUCUCAGUGAACGGCUCCUUGGUCCGCUCCGGCUGCACCACGCGCCUGGACACACACCUCCACACCGGGGGAGAGGAGAGGGGGGCCGCCAGCCUGGCCUUAUCCUCCUGCCUCCCCCAGCUCAGCCUCAGGAGCUCCAUCCGUCACUCCCUGGCGGGGCUCCAUGCCCUGGGCCUCCCCCCUCGCAGUGCCCUGGUCCUGGGUAUCUCGACUGGUAAACGCCCUGGGGUAGGGGUGGAGCUGGAGCUGGGGCAGUGCCGGAUCAGGGCUGAUUCGGGGGAGAAUAAGGCUAACUGGGUCGUCAAUGUGACCCACUACUGCCCAGAACUACAGAGCACAGGACUCCCUGCAUCCCUGGCCUUCCAGGGCCUCCUCUCAUUGGUCCCUUGCCAGCUGGCCGUUCACUGUACUCUAAAGAUGGACAACCGUGAACUUAAUCUGGAGCUGGGCCAGUCCUGCAGUCCGGCAGCACACCUCUCUGGCUCCCUGACACACUCCUUCCCUGGGCUCCGGACCAGGGGCCUCCCCCUGAAGACCAGCAUAGAGGUUUGGGCCCCUGAGGGCCCCGGACAGACUGGGGCCCUGUUGAUUAAAGCUGGCUCGUGUCAUAUCAGAGCUAAUGGAGACAUGGGGUCUAAUGGACGGACACAGUGGGCUACGGAGUCAGAUUGUCCGUUGCUACAGGGUCUUGACCUCCCCUCCCAGGUCCACCUGAAUGGCUCUGUGGGAACAGAUGACCACAACAUCUGGGUGGCCAUUUUGGAUGCCAGUGUGGAGGGGCAACAGAGGGGUUCCCUGAGGCUGACCGCAGGGGCCAGGUCUGGGCUGAGGCUAGAGGGACACCUCAUUCACAACCUCACGGCCCUUGAGGGGAUACCGGGCCAGAGUAGGAUAGUGGUGACCGGUAGUGGUAGGGCAGACUCACAGGGCUACGAUACAGAGGUGGAGCUACAGCUGGGGGAAUGUGCUGUGAGAGGCUCAGCGAGAGUGAUGACAAGGGACAACCUGAAGGGGGCAGUGGUGUACCACAACAACUGCACUGCACUACAGGAAUGGGGUAGUCCAGUUAAGAUGAAAGUUUCUUGGUCCUUGGUCAUCACCCAGACACUCCUAGACACCCAUGUCUCCAUGGCGAUGGAUGAAAAGAAACUACAGGCUUUGAUGGCACUGAAAACAACAAAGGGUUGGCAGGAAGCAUCAGCCCAUCUCAACCACUCUGUGCCCCUGCUAGAAAGGGUGGGUCUCCCCGCCAAUUCUGCCAUGACGACGCGCUCAGAGAGCCAUGGCAACGGCUCUUACCACUGGCUCCUCCACUGCAUCGUGGGAGGCCAACAGGUAACCUGAUUAACAGCAGCUGUUUAGAGAGGAAACCACAGAAUUAAAUAUAACACUUAUUUAGG
ensembl:lncRNA